CUUUGGGAUAAGCCUGGAAACUGGGUCUAAUACCGGAUAGGAGCCAUUUUUAGUGUGAUGGUUGGAAAGUUUUUUCGGUGUAGGAUGAGCUCGCGGCCUAUCAGCUAGUUGGUGAGGUAAUGGCUCACCAAGGCGACGAUCCGUAACUGGUCUGAGAGGAUGAUCAGUCACACUGGAACUGAGACACGGUCCAGACUCCUACGGGAGGCAGCAGUGGGGAAUAUUGCACAAUGGGCGCAAGCCUGAUGCAGCGACGCCGCGUGGGGGAUGACGGCCUUCGGGUUGUAAACCUCUUUCAGCAGGGACGAAGCGAAAGUGACGGUACCUGCAGAAGAAGCACCGGCCAACUACGUGCCAGCAGCCGCGGUAAUACGUAGGGUGCGAGCGUUGUCCGGAAUUACUGGGCGUAAAGAGCUCGUAGGUGGUUUGUCGCGUCGUUUGUGGAAUACCGCAGCUUAACUGCGGGGUUGCAGGCGAUACGGGCAUAACUUGAGUGCUGUAGGGGAGACUGGAAUUCCUGGUGUAGCGGUGGAAUGCGCAGAUAUCAGGAGGAACACCGGUGGCGAAGGCGGGUCUCUGGGCAACAACUGACGCUGAGGAGCGAAAGCGUGGGGAGCGAACAGGAUUAGAUACCCUGGUAGUCCAUGCCGUAAACGGUGGGCGCUAGGUGUGAGUCCCUUCCACGGGGUUCGUGCCGUAGCUAACGCAUUAAGCGCCCCGCCUGGGGAGUACGGCCGCAAGGCUAAAACUCAAAGGAAUUGACGGGGGCCCGCACAAGCA
rnacentral:rRNA from 1 species